rnacentral:rRNA from 1 species
UACGAAGGGUGCAAACGUUGCUCGGAAUCAUUGGGCGUAAAGCGCACGUAGGCGGCUUCGCAAGUCGGAUGUGAAAUCCCUCGGCUCAACCGAGGACGUGCAUCCGAAACUGCGGAGCUUGAGUACUGAAGAGGAUCGCGGAAUUCCCGGUGUAGAGGUGAAAUUCGUAGAUAUCGGGAGGAACACCAGUGGCGAAGGCGGCGAUCUGGGCAGUUACUGACGCUGAGGUGCGAAAGCGUGGGGAGCGAACAGG